GCCAGUUCUCGCUCUCCAGAAUUGUACUGGCCUGAUUUAAGAGUGAUUCAGUUAUAACUACAAGUCUUCAGAGAAGGCCAGAUGAGAAGUGACAUUUUCAUCCUAUUAUACUAUACACUGCAUACUAUGACAACACACUAUCUGACUGGAUGCUGACCUUGAUCACGUGGCUGAAAUCAUAUUCUCUGUAUUCCUCUACUGUAAAGUUAUGCUUUGUUUCCCCACUUUCCAUGUGUACUUUAAAAGGAAAUCCUUUCUCGUCUUCCCAAGGUGUGGAGUGAGUAUGGACAAGACCUGGUUGCCCCAAGAUGAGAAAGUCUACCUGAAGACCCAAGUGACAGACCCAAGUGACUAUGUGACCUUUCUCACAAGUUAUUUCUGAUUGGAAAUACUUCUCAGAUUUGUAAAACUACUCUGGAAAUCAAUUUGGCAGUUUCUCAGAAAAUUAGGAAUAUUUCUACCUAAAGAACAGCUGCACUACUCUUGGGCAUAUAUUCAAAAGAUGCUGCACCAUCCCACGAAGACACUUGCUCUACUAUGUUCAUAGCAGCUUUAUUUGUAAUGGAAACUGGAAACAACCCAGAUAUUCCUAAAUGCAGAAUGGAUGAAGAAAAUAUGGUACAUC